rnacentral:lncRNA from 1 species
GUCUUGUCCCCCUUCACUGUUAAAAAAAAGAGGCGAGGGCAACUGCUGCCCUGCGGGUGGGAUUCUGGCUGAGAGACCUUUGCAAAUCAGAUCCCAGGUAACUGGGCCCCAAACUCUCUAAAAGUGGCAGGAUGGAUUUUCCAUGGGCUUUAUGGCAAUAUCAAUAGAAUUAAAGUUACUUGUAAUUCAGUGAUAAAUGGGAUGUCUCUAGUAAGUAAGAUUAAGUACAGUGCUUUAAAGUUGUUUAUCUGAAAAGUAAUUCUCAGAAAACCUGACUUCUGACACUUGGUCAUAUAUUAAGCCAGCGUCUUGAACAUUGCACUUCAGAAUAGUCUUACCCACCAGGUCGCAUACUUCACUAUUUAUAAUGAGACUUAGUGUCACUCCCCUGCUUCAUACACCAGAUUAACCCUGUGUUAAUUUCUCUGAUCUUGGCAGCCUUCGGUUCCAGCAAAUUCAGGAAUCCCUACUGGGAGACCUCCCAGAAGAUUUGUAGGGACAUCCUCAUCCUAAAAGGGCAGCACUGUUGGUAUUUUCCUUACAAGCCUGCUACAGAGGAGUUGUUUAUAAGGGUAGUUUGGGUUUGAGGGAAUGCUUUGUUAGGGUGGAAUGAACUGGGUUUAGUCCCAGUAUGGGAAGAAAGAGUGAAGAUUCUAUCAAUAUUUAUGUCAUCUAAGAUAAUUCCCUUGCUUUCCUCCUCUGACAGUAUUUUACCUACUAAUGAAGUUAAAGGAUUUCAGUUUAUGUAUUCAGAGGAAAAUCCACUGCUUAAAUUUCACAAACAUUAUGGUGUUCAGCAUUGUUCAUGAUGUCCAAAGUUUGUGUGUGUGUGUGUGUGUGUGUGUUAAAUGUAGAUUUAUGUGUCC